rnacentral:lncRNA from 1 species
GAAGAUCCUCGAAAAGCCUGUUUGUUGGGCUUCCCUUGGUGUUCUGUUUCUGUGUCGCCAAACACUUGUUUUCCAAUCGUUUGCUCCUUUUCGCCUGUGAAUUGUCUUCCUUCCCUUUGAGGUCCCUGAUUCUGCCUCCCCAGGCAUCUGCUUUUGUCUUUAGCUGAGGAUGGUAUUUAAGCACCCUGCUCCAGAGGGGCUCCGAGUAAGGAAGCUUCUGGAUCCAUGCAAGUCAUUGCCCCAGUGCUCCUGGAUCGAGGGCCAAUCUCUGCCAUCUGCACCUUCAACUGGGCAGCCCACACUUCCCAGCUUCUUCUCCAUCUCGGGCCCCUGCUGCCUCUUCCCUACUCAAGAUACUGAGCUUCAGAGAGGGUAACAUGCCUGCCAUGGUCACCCAGCAAGGUGGGGCAUGCUUCAGACUAGCUGCUCUUCUCUCCUUCUCCAGACAGACUGCAGUUUUUCAAAAUGGAAAUAUCUUUAUUUUUUAUUUUAAUUUUUUCCCAAAGUAAUACAGACUCUUUGUAAAACAAAAUUAUAUAUGUGUGUAUAUAUGUGUACAAUUCUAUGUGUGUGUAUUUUUCACUUAAUUAUUAUUGUGGACAUCAUUUUAAUGAGUAUAUAAUAGACCAUGAGGUGAAUGUCACAUAAUAU